rnacentral:rRNA from 1 species
UUUAUAUUAAAGGGCUGCAGUAUAUUGACUGUACAAAGGUAGCAUAAUCAUUAGUCAUUUAAUUGGUGACUUGUAUGAAAGAUUGGAUGAAAUAUAAACUGUCUCUUAGUUAUUAAUAGAAUUUAAUUUUUUAAUUAAAAAGUUAAAAUAAUUUAAAAAGACGAGAAGACCCUAUAGAGUUUUAUAUAUAAUUUAAUUAAGAUUAUUUAAUAAUAUUAAAUUAAAAUUAAUUUAUAUAUUAUAUUGGGGUGAUAGAAAAAUAUAUUUAACUUUUUUUAUAUUUGUAAAAUAUGGACAUAUAUAAGUGAUUAAAUGAUCCAAUACUAUUGAUUAUAAGAAAAAAUUACCUUAGGGAUAACAGCGUAAUUUUUUUUUUUAGUUCACAUAAAAAAAAGAGUUUGCGACCUCGAUGUUGGAUUAAGAUAAAAUUUAAAUGUAGAAG